GGAAAUACUUAAAUGCAAUACAUUAAGUAAACCACCGUUCAUCAGUGAGAGAACAGCUUGCUUAAAGGAAGCUGUGUGGGAAGAUGGAGAAUUUUUCUUACAAUUGACAGAAUUAUUAAUCAAAAAAUCAGUUUAAUCAGAGAAAGAAGCAACCUGCAAAGUCUGAGACGAUAGGCAUACAAAAUAACAGCAUGAAGCUGAAGCUUCAGAGACAACUGGACUGUUCAAGAUGCAGGAGCUCAAACCAGCCUGACAAAUAGAAAACUUUCACAAGGCAAAAAACUUCCGAGAGAGAUGAUUUGUGAGUCUGUGACUUUCUCUGUGCUAGAAUUGAAACUGUGUAAACAAGUACAUGUUCAAAUGUUGUUCUUCCCCAUGAGGUGAUAACCCACCAUUCCUGGCU
rnacentral:lncRNA from 1 species